rnacentral:lncRNA from 1 species
AUCACGUUUAAAUAGGAAGCAGAUCUAGACUGUUGAUCGCGUUUAAAUCUGACCGUUCGAUCACGUUUGGGGAGGGAACGCAUCCAAGCUGUCCAUGCACAUGGGAACGGAUUUGGGCCUUUCGAUUUGGGCACGCGGAUCGCCCACGUGGCCUCCUUCGUGGCACCGCGUCAGUGUCCGUUACCACACAGCGCGUUCUAGUUCGUCAGGACUGCUGACCGGGCAUCCUACA